rnacentral:rRNA from 1 species
UACGAAGGGGGCUAGCGUUGCUCGGAAUCACUGGGCGUAAAGGGUGCGUAGGCGGGUCUUUAAGUCAGGGGUGAAAUCCUGGAGCUCAACUCCAGAACUGCCUUUGAUACUGAGAUCUUGAGUCGGGAGAGGUGAGUGGAACUGCGAGUGUAGAGGUGAAAUUCGUAGAUAUUCGCAAGAACACCAGUGGCGAAGGCGGCUCACUGGCC